rnacentral:misc_RNA from 1 species
GAUGAAGAACGUAGCGAAAUGCGAUAAGUAGUGUGAAUUGCAGAAUUCAGUGAAUCAUCGAAUCUUUGAACGCACAUUGCGCCCUUUGGUAUUCCCUAGGGCAUGCCUGUUCGAGCGUCAUUUGAAACCUCAAGCUCAGCUUGGUGUUGGGUGUCUGUCCCCGCCUCACCGCGGGGACUCGCCUCAAAAUCAUUGGCGGCCGGUACGUUGGCUUCGAGCGCAGCAGAAACGCGAACUCGAGGCCCGGCGGAUCGGCGACCAGAAGUCACUUCUUCACAGUUUGACCUCGGAUCAGGUAGGGAUACCCGCUGAACUUAAGCAUAUCAAUAAGCGGAGGA